CCUACAGACUCCAAGGCCAGCAGCUGGAGCUCACAGCUGCACCACCGGCCGGUCAUUGGCUUCUGCCUGGAUCCCUACAUUCACACCCCUUCCCCAGCACCUCUCCCGGAAGUGGUGGUGGAUGGUGUACUCCAGGGUCUCUAUGGCUUCGGCACCAGCACCAGCCCGGCAGCAGCCCAGCCGGAGGCUAACUGUCAUCCUGCUCCAUCACCAAUGCCCUGACAAGCUCAGGCUUUGGGCCACCUUUCAGGACAGUUAUGUGCCUCAGUCCUAGGACUCCUAUAGGAAACUGGGUCUUCCCUUGGACUAGAUUCAGGUGUAACUUGCUGAGGCUCAGUCGUGCCCAUCCCCACUCAAAGCUCUGAACUUGGUUUGCACUGACAGCUGUAGCUGGUAGAACUCAAGACUUUUAGGC
rnacentral:lncRNA from 1 species